rnacentral:rRNA from 1 species
AGUAACGCAGCGAAAGCUGUGCUAAUACCGCAUACGAUCUACGGAUGAAAGCAGGGGAUCGCAAGACCUUGCGCGAAUGGAGCGGCCGAUGGCAGAUUAGGUAGUUGGUGAGGUAAAGGCUCACCAAGCCUUCGAUCUGUAGCUGGUCUGAGAGGACGACCAGCCACACUGGGACUGAGACACGGCCCAGACUCCUACGGGAGGCAGCAGCC